UACGUAGGGUGCGAGCGUUAAUCGGAAUUACUGGGCGUAAAGCGUGCGCAGGCGGUUCGUUGUGUCGGUGGUGAAAGCCCCGGGCUUAACCUGGGAAUGGCCAUGGAAACUGGCGAACUGGAGUGUGGCAGAGGGGGUGGAAUUCCGCGGUGUAGCAGUGAAAUGCGUAGAGAUGUGGAGGAACACCGAUGGCGAAGGCAGCCCCCUGGGUCAAGAUUGACGCUCAUGCACGAAAGCGUGGGGAGCA
rnacentral:rRNA from 1 species